rnacentral:lncRNA from 1 species
CUCCGCGCCCGGUUGACCUGCGCGGCCGGGCGUGCGAGGCCCCAGGCUCGUCCCGAGUUUGAGCUCCUUCGCAGGCAGGCCUUGGCCGACGACUCCCUUCCCCCACGCAACAAGAGUGGUUUUAACCUCGCGUGCCUCGAACAGUGUUUAGGGCUCCAAGUGCCAGGUUUCAGGAAACCUCAGCUCCACCAGGACAAAGGCAUUUCCUGCUAAAGACCAUGGAACACUGCCCCUCAGUUCUCUUUUCUUGGGAACUAGAUGCUUCCUGUAUGGUUUGACCCUCAGACAUGUGAUCCAUAGUCAGGACCUAACCUGACUUGAGUGGGAGGAUGUUUAGUAAUAUUUUCCCAAGUACGAUCAAGAACAACAGAAAAGUAGCAUCUAGAGGCUGAUUCGUUUGAUGUAACUGGUUCUGAAAAGAGCAGCUGUCUGAAGAAAAAGAUGUCAUAUUUUUAAAUUUCAAGAAGACCUGCUGGGAAAUACAUGAUAAAACACUGCUUCACUUUAUUUUCCAUUCACAUACUAUAGUUUAACUUGACGUUAUCUGAAAAAGUUCCAUCACAGGUUCGUGGUACAAGGACACGGAAGCAUCGCUGCCAAUCUGACGACUGCCAAGUGGUGUUGCUUGGAGGAGGCCUAGAUGGAAUGACCAGAUGAGUCUCUCCAGUCUUCCUAACCAGUGGUCCUAUUUUAUUUUGAUUUUGCUGCCUUCAAUUAUGUCACUGUUGUUCCUUGCAUUUCAUUUUGCUAUGCCAAAAUGCUAUGUAAGCUACCCUUUGCUGGUGUAGGUUAUCUCUGGAAGGUGAGUUGCUGGCGCUUCUUGAGGGGCUCCGGGCCGCACCUUCCUCCGGAGUCCUCCAGCAGAAACCACCGGCCGGAGCUCGCGCCCUGAGUCCCGCGCAGGGACCCUACCUGGGCCACUGCAAGGUCACUGCGAGGCACCUGCACCACCGGCCCCAGGUGACUGCCCAAGAUUUUUUUUUUAAUACAAUCAAGUACUGUACUACUCUGCCACAAAGGAUAACCUUGAGACAUUUCUAGCUAAAUGGAUGCACUUUGAGACCAUACUCUUCAGUGAGAUAAAUAGGACACACAUAACUACCACAUUGUUUCCCUGGUGUGGGAAACUGAAAGUGAAAAUAAGGACCAAAAUGUACAGUAGAUAUUGGGAAAUGUUCAAGAAAAUGUUCAAAUGGGAAGGAGAACAAGGGAGGGGGGAGGGGGAAGGGAAGGAAGGGAGAGAAAAAAAUAAGAAGGAAAAAAUUGAAACAAAGCUUUUUUUGUAAAUAAGGAG